rnacentral:rRNA from 1 species
AAUCUGGCUUCGGCCCGAGUUGUAAUUUGCAGAGGAAGUUUCAGGCAACGUCCUAUCUAAGUCCACUGGAAUGUGGCGCCACAGAGGGUGAGAGCCCCGUGAAGAUGGAUACCGCGCCUAUGUGAAACCCCUUCGACGAGUCGAGUAGUUUGGGAAUGCUGCUCUAAAUGGGAGGUAAAUUCCUUCUAAAGCUAAAUACUGGCCCGAGACCGAUAGCGCACAAGUAGAGUGAUCGAAAGAUGAAAAGUACUUUGAAAAGAGAGUCAAAUAGCACGUGAAAUUGUUGAAAGGGAAGGAUUUGUCACCAGACGUGCGCUGUGCCGAUCUCCCGGUGCUCUGCACUGGUGUAAUCGGCGUAACGCAGGCCAGCAUCGAUUUCUGGCGGGGGAUAACAGCCAUGGGAACGUAGCACCCGACGGGGUGUGUUAUAGCCCGCGGCAGAAUACCUCGCCGGGGGAUCGAGGACCGCGAAUACACGGAUGCUGGCGUAAUGGUGACCAAUCACCCGUCU